UACGUAGGGGGCGAGCGUUGUCCGGAGUUACUGGGCGUAAAGCGCACGCAGGCGGUCGUGUAAGUUUGGGGUUACAGCUCCCGGCUCAACUGGGAGAGCGCCUCAAAGACUGCGCGACUUGAGAGCCAGAGAGGGACACAGAAUUCCGGGUGUAGUGGUGAAAUGCGUAGAUAUCCGGAGGAAUACCAAAGGCGAAGGCAGUGUCCUGGAGGGUUUCUGACGCUGAGGUGCGAAAGCUAGGGGAGCGAACGGG
rnacentral:rRNA from 1 species